CAGAAAUACAGAGCUGAGUCCGCUGCCUCGGUGGAGUUGAUUUCCAGGCUGCAGGGAAGAGCUGACGUGCUGCACUGUGGACUGGCUGCUGGCACAGAAAUACAGAGCUGAGUCUGCUGCCUCGGUGGACUUGAUUUCCAGGCUGCAGGACACUCAGUUCCUUGUUUGGAUCAAUGAAUGUGCUGAGCCAGGUCAUCAGGGUGCCCACAGAAGAUGAUGACCUGCCAGUUAUCUGUAUUUCUGCAGGCACAGCUUUGCCAGAUGAAAAGCUCAGAACUGCAUAUUUUAAUAAAGAUUCUUAGGAAUCCAUCAAGGUCACAUCCUGUGUCUUCUUUGCCAGAUACCCUGCAAACUGGGGAAUAUGAGACUCCUUACAGCUUCCUUCCCCAUCCUUGGAUUUGUGUUCCCACCAGCUCUUUUCCACCUCCCCUUCUGCUCAUCCUGUGUGGCCAUUUACAGGUUUUUCUUUCUGGUUUAUGCUCUUUCAAGGAAGAGCUGACGUGCUGCACUGUGGACUGGCUGCUGGCACAGAAAUACAGAGCUGAGUCCGCUGCCUCGGUGGAGUUGAUUUCCAGGCUGCAGGGGACAGCUGAGAGAAGCAGUGAUGAACCUUGAGGAGUCUCUGGGUCUGGAUUAAUGAAUGUGCAGAGCUGGGUGAUCAGGGUGCCCAGGGAAGACAGAUGACCUGCUGAUUAUCCUUAUUCCUGAAGGCACAGCUUUAUCAGGAAGAGCUGACGUGCUGCACUGUGGACUGGCUGGCUGGCACAGAAAUACAGAGCUGAGUCCGCUGCCUCGGUGGACUUGAUUUCCAGGCUGCAGGGUGAGUUUGGGAGGCACUCAGCUGAAAAUCGCUGUUUGAACACUUCUGUAUCUUUCACAAUGUCUUGAUUCUGUAAGUUAACCAAAAACUCAAAUGCUUCUUCCAGCUUUUUGUGAUACCAGUAAACAUAAGUAUGUCCUUUUUUGGGGACGCAGCCUAUCUUUGCUUUCUGGUCUUUUCCUUUAACCAGAUGACUGGGACUCUGGGUGACCUCAGUGUCCAUGGAGCCUGUGAGGAAAGGGACAGAAAGUUCACAAAAAGCCCUUGAAGGAGGCUGAUUUUGCAGCCGCAGGAGAAAGUCCUGAAUCUAGACGCCAAGAAAUUCACCUCUCCUGCUCCCCAGAAUAAAAGAGCCACACAGCACAGGAGGCCGAGGCACCUGGCUGGCUGGGGGAGGAAGCAGGGCAGUGGCUUUUCCUCUCAGGCGCCUCAUCCCCCUUCAUCACCUCCGUGUGACGUGGUGGCUUCCUAUGGUCAUCACAGUCCCCAUGUACAUGAGAGGCUAGCUUUUCAUAGACUGGGAGGGCAGGGGAAGCUGGUGGAACAACUAGUGUGCAUUUCAGACUGCUUUAAUUUUCUUUUUCCUGAUUCUACUCUUUCACUAUUUCUUUAAAAAUAAAUGUUAUUUCCAUAUUAACAAUUUAUUUCCUUUUUUAACUUGUAGAUUUGCCUCCUCCCUUCCCUCUCAGACAGUACAUAGCUUGCUGUUACCAAUAAUAGUGUCCACUGCACUUAAAAAAUCAUAAAUCUGCCUCUUAAAUUAAAAAAUUAAAUGUUGAACUUGUGCAAAAUAAUAUUUAUGAUGAAUAUGCAAUGCAUUUAGGGAAACAAUAAAAUGAAUCCUCUUGUUUGAAUCAAUCAGCUUAGGAGUUAGAUUAAUACUAAUAAUUUUUAAGCCCCUGUGUUAUUUUUAUAGACUUUAUUGUUGUUUUUCUACCAUGUCCAUGUAACUACACACCUGAAGUUUAUAUUUUUAUUCACUUGCUUUUCAUUACAGUUUUUCUCAUUUAUGUAAGAAUCUGCAAAUUUUGUAUUAAUCAAUGUUGUAUGUCUUUUAAAUUUAUUUGUGGGAGUUCUUUUUCUUGGCCAUGCUCUUUUUCCAUUCAACAUAUGCCUAUGUUAUUAAAUCAUGUUGUCUCAUGUAGUUUUAGAUAAAUCAGUUUCACUAAUACAUAGGAUUCCAUUUAUUAGUUUGUCAGAAUCUAUUAUCCAUUUAACCUCAUGCACCCUAGUUGUUUUGUUUUUUUAACCCAGAUUUUAAUGCUACUAUAAAUAGGACUGUAUUCUUAUACAAUUCUUUACAUACUUAGGUGAAAGUUUCUCUAUACCUGGGAUUGUAAAAAUUGAGCCUUAGGGUCACCAUGUCUAUUUUACAUAGCAAGACAAAAUGGUUUCCAAAUUAAUUAAGCAAGUAAAUAGUCCCACAACAGUUUAUCAACUAUAUUCAAAUGUUCCUCCUCAGCACUCAGUUGGCACGCACUGUUCUUUUAAUUUUGUCAGUUUAUUAGGUUAAAGUGGUAUCUCACUAUAGCUUUAGUUUGCGUUUUUAUGACGGCUAAGGAGAUUGAUAUUCUGAAUUAAUACACUUAUAGGCCACUGGUUUUUCUGUACAUUGCUCUUUCCUCAUAUUUUUGGUAGAUUAACUAUCAUUUAUUUGUGUUAUGCCCGAUGUCCGAAUCCCCAAGCGGGAAGAGAGAAGGCUUCCAAGACAAUGCAACUCGCAGGAAGGGAAGUUUAUUACUGACUCGAGCCAGGA